UCAGGCCUAACACAUGCAAGUCGAACGGUAACGGGAUGUGCUUGCACAUCGCUGACGAGUGGCGGACGGGUGAGUAAUGCUUGGGAACUUGCCUUUGCGAGGGGGAUAACAGUUGGAAACGACUGCUAAUACCGCAUAAUGUCUUCGGACCAAACGGGGCUUCGGCUCCGGCGCAGAGAGAGGCCCAAGUGAGAUUAGCUAGUUGGUGAGGUAAAGGCUCACCAAGGCGACGAUCUCUAGCUGUUCUGAGAGGAAGAUCAGCCACACUGGGACUGAGACACGGCCCAGACUCCUACGGGAGGCAGCAGUGGGGAAUAUUGCACAAUGGGGGAAACCCUGAUGCAGCCAUGCCGCGUGUGUGAAGAAGGCCCUCGGGUUGUAAAGCACUUUCAGUUGUGAGGAAAAGUUAGUAGUUAAUACCUGCUAGCCGUGACGUUAACAACAGAAGAAGCACCGGCUAACUCCAUGCCAGCAGCCGCGGUAAUACGGAGGGUGCGAGCGUUAAUCGGAAUUACUGGGCGUAAAGCGCACGCAGGCGGUUUUGUUAAGCUAGAUGUGAAAGCCCCGGGCUCAACCUGGGAUGGUCAUUAGAACUGGCAGACUAGAGUCUUUGGAGAGGGGAGUGGAAUUCCAGGUGUAGCGGUGAAAUGCGUAUAUAUCUGGAGGAACAUCAGUGGCGAAGCGACUCCCUGGACAAAGACU
rnacentral:rRNA from 1 species